GACUUUUGCUUUGAUGAGCUCUAUCCUAUCUUUAGUGGCUUUGACUGCUACUUCCCUGAGUUCUAGACAGCUUUGAUUGCCAUAAUACAGUUGCCACUAAAAGAAUAAAUUCUUAUAGUGUCUGGAUGAGGAGGAGCCUGCCUUGAACCUCGCUAACAUGCUCAAUGCCAUAGGAGAUGGUGGUUGUAAGGCAGGAUGAGGUGAGGACGAUUUUUGUCCAUCUAUCAUUGAAGGAGAUGAGGUCCGACCAGUUAGUAGGGAUGGAGUCUGAGCUGACUC
rnacentral:lncRNA from 1 species